GAUGAACGCUGGCGGCGUGCCUAAUACAUGCAAGUCGAGCGAACAGAUAAGGAGCUUGCUCCUUUGAAGUUAGCGGCGAACGGGUGAGUAACACGUGGGUAACCUACCUAUAAGACUGGGAUAACUUCGGGAAACCGGAGCUAAUACCGGAUAACAUUUAGAACCGCAUGGUUCUAAAGUGAAAGAUGGUUUUGCUAUCACUUAUAGAUGGACCCGCGCCGUAUUAGCUAGUUGGUAAGGUAACGGCUUACCAAGGCGACGAUACGUAGCCGACCUGAGAGGGUGAACGGCCACACUGGAACUGAGACACGGUCCAGACUCCUACGGGAGGCAGCAGUAGGGAAUCUUCCGCAAUGGGCGAAAGCCUGACGGAGCAACGCCGCGUGAGUGAUGAAGGGUUCCGGCUCGUAAAACUCUGUUAUUAGGGAAGAACAAAUGUGUAAGUAACUGUGCACAUCUUGACGGUACCUAAUCAGAAAGCCACGGCUAACUACGUGCCAGCCGCCGCAGUAA
rnacentral:rRNA from 1 species